rnacentral:rRNA from 1 species
AGUCGAGCGAUGAACACCUUCGGGUGUGAAUUAGCGGCGAACGGGUGAGGAACACGUGAAGAAUCUGCCUUCAACUCUGGGAUAACUCCGGGAAACCGGGGCUAAUACCGGAUAUGAGCCUCGAUCGCAUGAUUGGGGCUGGAAAGUUUUUCGGUUGAAGAUGACUUCGCGGCCUAUCAGCUUGUUGGUGAGGUAAUGGCUCACCAAGGCGACGACGGGUAGCCGGCCUGAGUGGGCGACCGGCCACACUGGGACUGAGACACGGCCCAGACUCCUACGGGAGGCAGCAGUGGGGAAUAUUGGGCAAUGGAGGAAACUCUGACCCAGCGACGCCGCGUGAGGGAUGAAGGCCUUCGGGUUGUAAACCUCUUUCAGUAGGGAAGAAGCGAAAGUGACGGUACCUACAGAAGAAGCACCGGCUAACUAUGUGCCAGCAGCCGCGGUAAUACAUAGGGUGCAAGCGUUGUCCGGAAUUAUUGGGCGUAAAGAGCUCGUAGGUGGUUCGAUACGUCGGAUGUGAAAAUCAGGGGCUCAACCCCUGACCUGCAUCCGAUACGGUCGAGCUAGAGUUUGGUAGGGGAGACUGGAAUUCCUGGUGUAGCGGUGGAAUGCGCAGAUAUCAGGAGGAACACCGAUGGCGAAGGCAGGUCUCUGGGCCAAUACUGACACUGAGGAGCGAAAGCGUGGGGAGCGAACAGGAUUAGAUACCCUGGUAGUCCACGCCGUAAAC